rnacentral:rRNA from 1 species
UCGCGGCCUAUCAGCUUGUUGGUGGGGUAACGGCCCACCAAGGCGACGACGGGUAGCCGGCCUGAGAGGGCGACCGGCCACACUGGGACUGAGACACGGCCCAGACUCCUACGGGAGGCAGCAGUGGGGAAUAUUGCACAAUGGGCGCAAGUCUGAUGCAGCGACGCCGCGUGAGGGAUGAAGGCCUUCGGGUUGUAAACCUCUUUCAGCAGGGAAGAAGCGCAAGUGACGGUACCUGCAGAAGAAGCGCCGGCUAACUACGUGCCAGCAGCCGCGGUAAUACGUAGGGCGCAAGCGUUGUCCGGAAUUAUUGGGCGUAAAGAGCUCGUAGGCGGUUUGUCGCGUCUGCUGUGAAAACUCGAGGCUCAACCUCGGGCUUGCAGUGGGUACGGGCAGACUAGAGUGCGGUAGGGGAGACUGGAAUUCCUGGUGUAGCGGUGGAAUGCGCAGAUAUCAGGAGGAACACCGAUGGCGAAGGCAGGUCUCUGGGCCGCAACUGACGCUGAGGAGCGAAAGCAUGGGGAGCGAACAGGAUUAGAUACCCUGGUAGUCCAUGCCGUAAACGUUGGGCACUAGGUGUGGGGCUCAUUCCACGAGUUCCGUGCCGCAGCAAACGCAUUAAGUGCCCCGCCUGGGGAGUACGGCCGCAAGGCUAAAACUCAAAGAAAUUGACGGGGGCCCGCACAAGCGGCGGAGCAUGCGGAUUAAUUCGAUGCAACGCGAAGAACCUUACCAAGGCUUGACAUACACCGGAAACUUCCAGAGAUGGUUGCCCCGCAAGGUCGGUGUACAGGUGGUGCAUGGUUGUCGUCAGCUCGUGUCGUGAGAUGUUGGGUUAAGUCCCGCAACGAGCGCAACCCUCGUCCUAUGUUGCCAGCGGGUCAUGCCGGGGACUCAUAGGAGACUGCCGGGGUCAACUCGGAGGAAGGUGGGGAUGACGUCAAAUCAUCAUGCCCCUUAUGUCUUGGGCUUCACGCAUGCUACAAUGGCCGGUACAAAGGGCUGCGAUACCGCGAGGUGGAGCGAAUCCCAAAAAGCUGGUCUCAGUUCGGAUUGGGGUCUGCAACUCGACCCCGUGAAGUCGGAGUCGCUAGUAAUCGCAGAUCAGCAACGCUGCGGUGAAUACGUUCCCGGGCCUUGUACACACCGCCCGUCAAGUCACGAAAGUCGGUAACACCCGAAGCCGGUGGCCCAACUGUUCGCAGGGGGAGCCGUCGAAGGUGGGGCUGGA